rnacentral:pre_miRNA from 1 species
AGCUUUUCGAAUCCGUGCUGAGAUUCUGUCAGACAUCAAACUAUUAGGGUUGAUCAGACUUCUAAGAUAAGUUAAGUA